AAAUGCGAUAAGUAAUGUGAAUUGCAGAAUUCAGUGAAUCAUCGAAUCUUUGAACGCACCUUGCGCUCCUUGGUAUUCCUUGGAGCAUGCCUGUUUGAGUAUCAUGAAAUCUUCAAAGUAAAUCUUUUGUUAACUCAAUUGGUUUCUACUUUGGUAUUGGAGGUCUUUGCAGCUUCACACCUGCUCCUCUUUGUUCAUUAGCUGGAUCUCAGUGUUAUGCUUGGUUCCACUCGGCGUGAUAAGUUAUCUAUCGCUGAGGACACUGUAAAAGGUGGCCAAGGUAAAUGCAGAUGAACCGCUUCUAAUAGUCCAUUGACUUGGACAAUACUUUUAUGAUCUGAUCUCAAAUCAGGUAGAACUACCCGCUGAACUUAAGC
rnacentral:misc_RNA from 1 species